CUAUCUCCCUUCCUUUUUUCUGUCUUUUGUUAUCCUCGUAGGAUAAUUAACAACAUUAUAUAUUAACACCAUUUUUGUUGUACGACCUCUCAGCCCCAGAAGGAAACAGGAACAGCACAAAAAAAGAGAUGCGGAAAAGCACAGGUCUGCACUCCA